rnacentral:rRNA from 1 species
GACGAACGCUGGCGGCGUGCUUAACACAUGCAAGUCGAGCGAACAGGCCCUGAUUUUGUGGGGUGCUCGAGAGGCGAACGGGUGAGUAACACGUGAGUAACCUGCCCUUAACUGUGGGAUAACUUCAGGAAACUGGGGCUCAUAUCCGAGAGGAGCUCCUGCUGCAUGGUGGGGGUUGGUAAGUUUCGGCGGUUCUGGCUGGACUGGAGGGUUAUCAGCUGGUUGGGGGGGUAGGGGCUUACCAAGGCUUUGACGGGUAGCCGGCCUGAGAGGGUGAACGGCGACAAUGGUACUGAGAUACGGACCAGACUCCUACGGGAGGCAGUAGUGGGGAGUAUUGCACAAUGGGCGGGAGCCAGAGGCAGCAACGCCGCGAGCGGGAUGACCGCCUUCGGGUGGUAAACCGAUUUGGCCUGUGCCGAAGCGGGAGUGACGGUAAUGGGUAAAGAAGCCACGGCUAACUACGUG